rnacentral:rRNA from 1 species
AUUGAACGCUGGCGGCAGGCCUAACACAUGCAAGUCGAGCGGAUGAAGGGAGCUUGCUCCUGGAUUCAGCGGCGGACGGGUGAGUAAUGCCUAGGAAUCUGCCUGGUAGUGGGGGAUAACGUCCGGAAACGGGCGCUAAUACCGCAUACGUCCUGAGGGAGAAAGUGGGGGAUCUUCGGACCUCACGCUCUCAGAUGAGCCUAGGUCGGAUUAGCUAGUUGGUGGGGUAAAGGCCUACCAAGGCGACGAUCCGUAACUGGUCUGAGAGGAUGAUCAGUCACACUGGAACUGAGACACGGUCCAGACUCCUACGGGAGGCAGCAGUGGGGAAUAUUGGACAAAGGGCGAAAGCCUGAUCCAGCCAUGCCGCGUGUGUGAAGAAGGUCUUCGGAUUGUAAAGCACUUUAAGUGGGGAGGAAGGGCAGUAAGUUAAUACCUUGCUGUUUUGACGGUACCAACAGAAUAAGCACCGGCUAACUUCGUG